rnacentral:rRNA from 1 species
UGGCUCAGGAUGAACGCUAGCUACAGGCUUAACACAUGCAAGUCGAGGGGCAUCAGGAAGAAAGCUUGCUUUCUUUGCUGGCGACCGGCGCACGGGUGAGUAACACGUAUCCAACCUGCCCUUUACUCGGGGAUAGCCUUUCGAAAGAAAGAUUAAUACCCGAUGGCAUAAUGAUUCCGCAUGGUUUCAUUAUUAAAGGAUUCCGGUAAAGGAUGGGGAUGCGUUCCAUUAGGUUGUUGGUGAGGUAACGGCUCACCAAGCCUUCGAUGGAUAGGGGUUCUGAGAGGAAGGUCCCCCACAUUGGAACUGAGACACGGUCCAAACUCCUACGGGAGGCAGCAGUGAGGAAUAUUGGUCAAUGGGCGCUAGCCUGAACCAGCCAAGUAGCGUGAAGGAUGAAGGCUCUAUGGGUCGUAAACUUCUUUUAUAUAAGAAUAAAGUGCAGUAUGUAUACUGUUUUGUAUGUAUUAUAUGAAUAAGGAUCGGCCAACUCCGUGCCAGCAGCCGCGGUAAUACGGAGGAUCCGAGCGUUAUCCGGAUUUAUUGGGUUUAAAGGGAGCGUAGGUGGACUGGUAAGUCAGUUGUGAAAGUUUGCGGCUCAACCGUAAAAUUGCAGUUGAUACUGUCAGUCUUGAGUACAGUAGAGGUGGGCGGAAUUCGUGGUGUAGCGGUGAAAUGCUUAGAUAUCACGAAGAACUCCGAUUGCGAAGGCAGCUCACUGGACUGCAACUGACACUGAUGCUCGAAAGUGUGGGUAUCAAACAGGAUUAGAUACCCUGGUAGUCCACACAGUAAACGAUGAAUACUCGCUGUUUGCGAUAUACAGUAAGCGGCCAAGCGAAAGCAUUAAGUAUUCCACCUGGGGAGUACGCCGGCAACGGUGAAACUCAAAGGAAUUGACGGGGGCCCGCACAAGCGGAGGAACAUGUGGUUUAAUUCGAUGAUACGCGAGGAACCUUACCCGGGCUUAAAUUGCAGUGGAAUGAUGUGGAAACAUGUCAGUGAGCAAUCACCGCUGUGAAGGUGCUGCAUGGUUGUCGUCAGCUCGUGCCGUGAGGUGUCGGCUUAAGUGCCAUAACGAGCGCAACCCUUAUCUUUAGUUACUAACAGGUUAUGCUGAGGACUCUAGAGAGACUGCCGUCGUAAGAUGUGAGGAAGGUGGGGAUGACGUCAAAUCAGCACGGCCCUUACGUCCGGGGCUACACACGUGUUACAAUGGGGGGUACAGAAGGCAGCUAGCGGGUGACCGUAUGCUAAUCCCAAAAGCCUCUCUCAGUUCGGAUCGAAGUCUGCAACCCGACUUCGUGAAGCUGGAUUCGCUAGUAAUCGCGCAUCAGCCACGGCGCGGUGAAUACGUUCCCGGGCCUUGUACACACCGCCCGUCAAGCCAUGGGAGCCGGGGGUACCUGAAGUACGUAACCGCAAGGAUCGUCCUAGGGUAAAACUGG